AGCGCACACGGUGGAUGCCUUGGCGGUCAGAGGCGAUGAAGGACGUGGCAGCCUGCGAAAAGUAUCGGGGAGCUGGCAACAAGCUUUGAUCCGGUAAUGUCCGAAUGGGGAAACCCACCCGCUUGCGGGUAUCCUGCAGUGAAUACAUAGCUGCUGGAAGCGAACCUGGUGAACUGAAAUAUCUAAGUAACCAGAGGAAAAGAAAUCAACCGAGAUUCCGUAAGUAGCGACGAGCGAACGCGGACUAGCCCUUAAGCUGGAUUGGUUCUAGGAAAACGCUCUGGAAAGAGCGGCCAUAGAAGGUGAUAGCCCUGUAUCUGAAAGGGCCAUUCCAGUGAAGACGAGUAGGGCGGGGCACGUGAAACCCUGUCUGAACAUGGGGGGACCAUCCUCCAAGGCUAAAUACUACUGACCGACCGAUAGUGAACCAGUACCGUGAGGGAAAGGCGAAAAGAACCCCGGAGAGGGGAGUGAAAUAGAACCUGAAACCGUGUGCGUACAAGCAGUAGGAGCUCCGCAAGGAGUGACUGCGUACCUUUUGUAUAAUGGGUCAGCGACUUACUGUUCGUGGCAAGCUUAACCGUAUAGGGGAGGCGAAGGGAAACCGAGUCUGAUAAGGGCGCAUAGUCGCGGGCAGUAGACCCGAAACCGGGUGAUCUAGUCAUGCCCAGGGUGAAGGUGCGGUAACACGCACUGGAGGCCCGAACCCACUCCCGUUGCAAAGGUAGGGGAUGAGGUGUGAUUAGGAGUGAAAAGCUAAUCGAACCCGGAGAUAGCUGGUUCUCCUCGAAAGCUAUUUAGGUAGCGCCUCAUAUGUAUCCUCUCGGGGGUAGAGCACUGUUAUGGCUAGGGGGUCAUCGCGACUUACCAAACCAUUGCAAACUCCGAAUACCGAGACGGACUGUAUGGGAGACACACGGCGGGUGCUAACGUCCGUCGUGAAAAGGGAAACAACCCAGACCCACAGCUAAGGUCCCAAAUUCACUGCUAAGUGGAAAACCAUGUGGAAAGGCACAGACAGCCAGGAGGUUGGCUUAGAAGCAGCCACCCUUUAAAGAAAGCGUAAUAGCUCACUGGUCGAGUCGGUCUGCGGGGAAGAUUUAACGGGGCUAAGCAGUGAACCGAAGCUUGGGGUGCAUAACUUUGUUAUGCGCGGUAGAGGAGCGUUCCGUAAGCCGUUGAAGGUGGAUUGAGAAGUCUGCUGGAGGUAUCGGAAGUGCGAAUGCUGACAUGAGUAACGAUAAUGCGGGUGAAAAACCCGCACGCCGAAAGCCCAAGGUUUCCUUGCGCAACGUUAAUCGGCGCAGGGUGAGUCGGCCCCUAAGGCGAGGACGAAAGUCGUAGUCGAUGGGAAGCAGGUUAAUAUUCCUGCACCUCGCGUAAGUGCGAUGGAGGGACGGAGAAGGUUAGGUGUACCAGGCGUUGGUUGUCCUGGGGAAAGGCGGUAGGUUUGGAUCUUUGGCAAAUCCGGGAUCCUCUAAGACCGAGCACCGAGACGAGCCUUUAUGGCGAAGUCACUGAUACCACGCUUCCAGGAAAAGCUCCUAAGCUUCAGCUUACGCAGACCGUACCGUAAACCGACACAGGUGGGUAGGAUGAGAAUUCUCAGGCGCUUGAGAGAACUCGGGUGAAGGAACUAGGCAACAUGGCACCGUAACUUCGGGAGAAGGUGCACCCUUUUUGGUGGCUCGUGCGAGCUAUAGCUGAAGAGGGUCGCAGUAACCAGGCCGCUGCGACUGUUUAUCAAAAACACAGCACUCUGCAAACACGAAAGUGGACGUAUAGGGUGUGACGCCUGCCCGGUGCUGGAAGGUUAAUUGAUGGGGUCAGCCGCAAGGCGAAGCUCUUGAUCGAAGCCCCAGUAAACGGCGGCCGUAACUAUAACGGUCCUAAGGUAGCGAAAUUCCUUGUCGGGUAAGUUCCGACCUGCACGAAUGGCGUAACGACAGCGGCGCUGUCUCCACCCGAGACUCAGUGAAAUUGAAAUCGCUGUGAAGAUGCAGCGUUCCCGUGGCAAGACGGAAAGACCCCGUGAACCUUUACUAUAGCUUUACACUGAACGUUGAGUUCGUCUGUGUAGGAUAGGUGGGAGGCUAUGAAACUGUGGCGCUAGCUGCAGUGGAGCCAUCCUUGAAAUACCACCCUGUCGUGCUUGACGUUCUAACCUGGGCCCAUUAUCUGGGUCGGGGACCGUGUAUGGUGGGUAGUUUGACUGGGGCGGUCUCCUCCUAAAGAGUAACGGAGGAGCUCGAAGGUACGCUCAGCGCGGUCGGACAUCGCGCACUGUGUGCAAAGGCAUAAGCGUGCUUGACUGCAAGAUCGACGGAUCAAGCAGGUAGGAAACUAGGACUUAGUGAUCCGGUGGUUCUGUAUGGAAGGGCCAUCGCUCAACGGAUAAAAGGUACUCCGGGGAUAACAGGCUGAUACCGCCCAAGAGUUCAUAUCGACGGCGGUGUUUGGCACCUCGAUGUCGGCUCAUCACAUCCUGGGGCUGUAGUCGGUCCCAAGGGUAUGGCUGUUCGCCAUUUAAAGUGGUACGCGAGCUGGGUUCAGAACGUCGUGAGACAGUUCGGUCCCUAUCUGCCAUGGGCGUUGGAGAUUUGAGAGGGGCUGCUCCUAGUACGAGAGGACCGGAGUGGACGAACCUCUGGUGUUCCGGUUGUCACGCCAGUGGCAUUGCCGGGUAGCUAUGUUCGGAAGCGAUAACCGCUGAAAGCAUCUAAGCGGGAAGCGCGCCUCAAGAUGAGAUCUCCCGGGGCACAAGCCCCCUGAAGGAACCAUGUAGACUACGUGGUUGA
rnacentral:rRNA from 1 species